AUGUAGUCUUCAGUUGUGAUAAGAUAGCUAUCUUAAUUUAUAUUCUAGGAGUUAAGACUUUUAAUUGCUACUGUUUUCUCAGUACAGUAUAGAGCAAAGCUGUCAUCUGGGAGUGGGAAUGGACUUUUGGAGCUUUGAGGAAAGAAGGUGUGAUAUGGUUGUCGAGGAGAGAAGAGGAUGGAAUGGAGCAAGGGUCCAGUGAUUGCUGGGUAGCAUUUUGCUGCCAUAGAUACAGAGGACUUGAGAGUGCUUCUAAGUCUGUUUGCCAAGUCUGAGGUCCUGGACACAGACAUCUUGGAGGAACACUAGAGGUCUCUUUGGGGUGAAGAAACCAAGCAAAGUUUAUGGUCCCUGAAGGAAGACAGAGAAGGCAGCCUGAAAUGAGGAGAUUGCCUGGAUGGAAUGUGACUGAUGGAGUCAAUUUCGUAAAGGACCAAGGACAUAGAAGGAUCAGAAAUUUUGGCCAAACAGGAAGUAUGUGCCUUGCAUGGUUAUUUGUCUCUCCACUCUUGAUGCUCCUUCUAUAGUCUGCUAAAGAAAUAGUUUUAUUCCAUUAUUCUAUCAUUAUGUAUCUUUCUCCCCAUCAGACUGAAAAGUAAAAAGGAGAAAAUGAGAAGAUACUUUUAUAUAGAC
rnacentral:lncRNA from 1 species